rnacentral:rRNA from 1 species
GACACGACUCUCGGCAAUGGAUAUCUCGGCUCUCGCAUCGAUGAAGAGCGCAGCGAAAUGCGAUACUUGGUGCGAAUUGCAGAAUCCCGCGAACCAUCGAGUCUUUGAACGCAAGUUGCGCCCGAGGCCAACCGGCCGAGGGCACGUCCGCCUGGGCGUCAAGC